UACAGAGGGGGCAAGCGUUAUUCGGAAUUAUUGGGCGUAAAGGGCGCGUAGGCGGCUUGGCAAGUGGAUGGUGAAAUCCCUCGGCUUAACCGAGGAACUGCCGUCCAAACUGCUUUGCUUGAGGUCGGGAGAGGUGAGUGGAAUUCCCAGUGUAGCGGUGAAAUGCGUAGAUAUUGGGAGGAACACCAGUGGCGAAGGCGGCUCACUGGACCGGUACUGACGUCGAUGCGCGCAAGCGUGGGGAGCAAACGGG
rnacentral:rRNA from 1 species